GUGGGGAAUAUUGGGCAAUGGGCGAAAGCCUGACCCAGCAACGCCGCGUGAAGGAAGAAGGUUUUCGGAUCGUAAACUUCUAUCCUUGGUGAAGAUAAUGACGGUAGCCAAGAAGGAAGCCCCGGCUAACUACGUGCCAGCAGCCGCGGUAAUACGUAGGGGGCAAGCGUUGUCCGGAAUGAUUGGGCGUAAAGGGCGCGUAGGCGGCCCGGUAAGUCUGAAGUGAAAGUCCUGCUUUUAAGGUGGGAAUUGCUUUGGAUACUGUCGGGCUUGAGUGCAGGAGAGGUAAGCGGAAUUCCCGGUGUAGCGGUGAAAUGCGUAGAGAUCGGGAGGAACACCAGUGGCGAAGGCGGCUUACUGGACUGCAACUGACGCUGAGGCGCGAAAGUGUGGGGAGCAAACAGGAUUAGAAACCCUUGUAGUCC
rnacentral:rRNA from 1 species